GGAAGGGUUGUAUUUAUUAGAUAAAGAACCAAUAUUUUUGGUGACUCAUAAUAACUUUACGGAUCACAUUUUUGUGACAUAUCAUUCAAGUUUCUGACCUAUCAGCUUUAGACGGUAGGGUAUUGGCCUACCGUGGCUAUGACGGGUAACGGGGAAUUAGGGUUCGAUUCCGGAGAGGGAGCCUGAGAAACGGCUACCACAUCUAAGGAAGGCAGCAGGCGCGCAAAUUACCCAAUCCUAAUACAGGGAGGUAGUGACAAGAAAUAACAAUACAGGGCCUAACGGUCUUGUAAUUGGAAUGAGUUAAGUAUAAACCCCUUUACAAGUAUCAAUUGGAGGGCAAGUCUGGUGCCAGCAGCCGCGGUAAUUCCAGCUCCAAUAGCGUAUAUUAAAGUUGUUGCAGUUAAAAAGCUCGUAGUUGGAUUUCUGUUAAUUCUUAUAUUUUAUACUACGGUAUUUAUAUAACAUUAACAUAAUUCAUAUUACUUUUUUUAGUAUAUGAAAUUUUACUUUGAGAAAAUUAGAGUGCUUAAAGCAGGCAUUUGCCUUGAAUACUCCAGCAUGGAAUAAUAUUUAAGAUUUUUAUCUUUCUUAUUGGUUCUAAGAUAAAAAUAAUGAUUAAUAGGGACAGUUGGGGGCAUUUGUAUUUAACAGUCAGAGGUGAAAUUCUUAGAUUUGUUAAAGACAAACUACUGCGAAAGCAUUUGCCAAGGAUGUUUUCAUUAAUCAAGAACGAAAGUUAGGGGAUCGAAGACGAUCAGAUACCGUCGUAGUCUUAACCAUAAACUAUGCCAACUAGAGAUUGGAGGUGUUGUUCCUUACUCCUU
rnacentral:rRNA from 2 species